rnacentral:rRNA from 1 species
GCAAGUCGAACGGCAGCACGGGAGCAAUCCUGGUGGCGAGUGGCGAACGGUGAGUAUAUAUCGGAACGUGCCCAGUCGUGGGGGAUAACGUAGCGAAAGCUACGCUAAUACCGCAUACGAUCUAUGGAUGAAAGCGGGGGAUCGCAAGACCUCGCGCGAUUGGAGCGGCCGAUAUCAGAUUAGGUAGUUGGUGAGGUAAAGGCUCACCAAGCCGACGAUCUGUAGCUGGUCUGAGAGGACGACCAGCCACACUGGGACUGAGACACGGCCCAGACUCCUACGGGAGGCAGCAGUGGGAAUUUUGGACAAUGGGCGCAAGCCUGAUCCAGCAAUGCCGCGUGCAGGAUGAAGGCCUUCGGGUUGUAAACUGCUUUUGUACGGAACGAAACGGUGAGCUCUAAUACAGUUUGCUAAUGACGGUACCGUAAGAAUAAGCACCGGCUAACUACGUG